rnacentral:rRNA from 1 species
GACGAAGGGGGCAAGCGUUGUUCGGAAUUACUGGGCGUAAAGGGCGCGUAGGCGGUCUUGUUAGUCAGGCGUGAAAGCCCUGGGCUUAACCUAGGAUGUGCGCUUGAUACUGCGAGGCUUGAGUGUGGGAGAGGUUGGUGGAAUUCCCAGUGUAGAGGUGAAAUUCGUAGAUAUUGGGAAGAGCACCGGUGGCGAAGGCGGCGACCUGGGUCGACACUGACGCUGAGGCGCGAAAGCCAGGGGAGCAAACGGG